GUAGGUAUAGUGUUCAACGGUUAGCAUAUCGGUCUUCCAAACCGAGGGUGCGGGUUCAAAUCCCGCUAUCUACUCCA
rnacentral:tRNA from 1 species